UACGUAGGGGGCAAGCGUUGUCCGGAAUUAUUGGGCGUAAAGCGCGCGCAGGCGGUCCUUUAAGUCUGAUGUGAAAGCCCACGGCUCAACCGUGGAGGGUCAUUGGAAACUGGGGGACUUGAGUGCAGGAGAGGGGAGCGGAAUUCCUGGUGUAGCGGUGAAAUGCGUAGAGAUCAGGAGGAACACCGGUGGCGAAGGCGGCUCUCUGGCCUGUAACUGACGCUGAGGCGCGAAAGCGUGGGGAGCGAACAGG
rnacentral:rRNA from 1 species